CCUACGGGAGGCAGCAGUGGGGAAUUUUGGACAAUGGGCGCAAGCCUGAUCCAGCAAUGCCGCGUGCAGGAUGAAGGCCUUCGGGUUGUAAACUGCUUUUGUACGGAACGAAACGGUCUGCUCUAAUACAGUGGGCUAAUGACGGUACCGUAAGAAUAAGCACCGGCUAACUACGUGCCAGCAGCCGCGGUAAUACGUAGGGUGCGAGCGUUAAUCGGAAUUACUGGGCGUAAAGCGUGCGCAGGCGGUUAUAUAAGACAGAUGUGAAAUCCCCGGGCUCAACCUGGGACCUGCAUUUGUGACUGUAUAGCUAGAGUGCGGCAGAGGGGGAUGGAAUUCCGCGUGUAGCAGUGAAAUGCGUAGAUAUGCGGAGGAACACCGAUGGCGAAGGCAAUCCCCUGGGCCUGCACUGACGCUCAUGCACGAAAGCGUGGGGAGCAAACAGGAUUAGAUACCCUGGUAGUCCACGCCCUAAACGAUGUCAACUGGUUGUUGGGUCUUCACUGACUCAGUAACGAAGCUAACGCGUGAAGUUGACCGCCUGGGGGAGGUACGGCCGCGAGUAGAACGUACAAGUAGAGUAGACGGCGNGAGAGNGCCGACGGACGACGACGAGGGAGGUAGG
rnacentral:rRNA from 1 species